rnacentral:rRNA from 1 species
UACAGAGGGGGCAAGCGUUGUUCGGAAUUACUGGGCGUAAAGGGCGCGUAGGCGGCCUGUUAAGUCGAACGUGAAAUCCCCGGGCUCAACCCGGGAACUGCGUCCGAUACUGGUAGGCUUGAAUUCGGGAGAGGGAUGCGGAAUUCCAGGUGUAGCGGUGAAAUGCGUAGAUAUCUGGAGGAACACCGGUGGCGAAGGCGGCAUCCUGGACCGAGAUUGACGCUGAGGCGCGAAAGCCAGGGGAGCAAACGGG